AACGAACGCUGGCGGCAUGCCUAACACAUGCAAGUCGAACGAGACCUUCGGGUCUAGUGGCGCACGGGUGCGUAACGCGUGGGAACCUGCCCUUAGGUUCGGAAUAACUCCCCGAAAGGGGUGCUAAUACCGGAUAAUGUCUUCGGACCAAAGAUUUAUCGCCUUUGGAUGGGCCCGCGUUUGAUUAGCUAGUUGGUAGGGUAAAAGCCUACCAAGGCGACGAUCCAUAGCUGGUCUGAGAGGAUGAUCAGCCACACUGGGACUGAGACACGGCCCAGACUCCUACGGGAGGCAGCAGUGGGGAAUAUUGGACAAUGGGCGAAAACCUGAUCCAGCAAUGCCGGGUGAGUGAUGAAGGCCUUAGGGUUGUAAAGCUCUUUUACCCGGGAUGAUAAUGACAGUACCGGGAGAAUAAGCUCCGGCUAACUCCGUG
rnacentral:rRNA from 1 species